GACGAACGCUGGCGGCGUGCUUAACACAUGCAAGUCGAACGGAAAGGCCCCUUUGGGGGUACUCGAGUGGCGAACGGGUGAGUAACACGUGAGUAACCUGCCCUUGACUUCGGGAUAACUUCAGGAAACUGGGGCUAAUACCGGAUAGGAAUCCUUGCUGCAUGGUGGGGGUUGGAAAGCUUCGGCGGUUUUGGAUGGACUCGCGGCUUAUCAGCUUGUUGGUGGGGUAGUGGCUUACCAAGGCUUUGACGGGUAGCCGGCCUGGGAGGGCGACCGGCCACAUUGGGACUGAGAUACGGCCCAGACACCUACGGGAGGCAGCAGUGGGGAAUAUUGCACAAUGGGCGGAAGCCUGAUGCAGCAACGCCGCGUGCGGGAUGACGGCCUUCGGGUUGUAAACCGCUUUCAGCAGGGGCGAAGCUUGUGGUGACGGUACCUGCAGAAGAAGCACCGGCUAACUACGUG
rnacentral:rRNA from 1 species